GCGCGUGCGGGCAGCCUAACACAUGCAAGUCGAACGAACUCUUCGGAGUUAGUGGCGGACGGGUGAGUAACACGCGGGAACGUGCCUUUAGGUUCGGAAUAACUCAGGGAAACUUGUGCUAAUACCGAAUGUGCCCUUCGGGGGAAAGAUUUAUCGCCUUUAGAGCGGCCCGCGUCUGAUUAGCUUGUUGGUGGGGUAAUGGCCCACCAAGGCUACGAUCAGUAGCUGGUCUGAGAGGAUGACCAGCCACAUUGGGACUGAGACACGGCCCAAACUCCUACGGGAGGCAGCAGUGGGGAAUCUUGCGCAAUGGGCGAAAGCCUGACGCAGCCAUGCCGCGUGUAUGAUGAAGGUCUUAGGAUUGUAAAAUACUUUCACCGGUGAAGAUAAUGACUGUAGCCGGAGAAGAAGCCCCGGCUAACUUCGUGCCAGCAGCCGCGGUAAUACGAAGGGGGCUAGCGUUGCUCGGAAUUACUGGGCGUAAAGGGAGCGUAGGCGGACAUUUAAGUCAGAGGUGAAAUCCCGGAGCUUAACUUCGGAACUGCCUUUGAUACUGGGUGUCUUGAGUGUGAGAGAGGUAUGUGGAACUCCGAAUGUAUAGGUGAAAUUCGUAUAUAUUCGGAAGAACAUCAGUGGCGAAGGCGACAUACUGGCUCAUUACUGACGCUGAGGCUCGAAAGCGUGGGGAGCAAACAGGAUUAGAUACCCUGGGUUUCCACGCCGUAAACGAUGAUUGCUAGUUUGUCGGGGAAGCUUGCUUCUAGUGACGCUGCUAACGCAUUAAGUAAUCCGCCUGGCGAGUAC
rnacentral:rRNA from 1 species